rnacentral:rRNA from 1 species
UACAGAGGUGGCAAGCGUUGUUCGGAAUUACUGGGCGUAAAGGGCGAGUAGGCGGCCUCCUAAGUCAGACGUGAAAUCCCCCGGCUUAACCUGGGAACUGCGUCUGAUACUGGACGGCUAGAGUAUGGGAGAGGGAUGUAGAAUUCCAGGUGUAGCGGUGAAAUGCGUAGAUAUCUGGAGGAAUACCGGUGGCGAAGGCGGCAUCCUGGACCAUUGACUGACGCUGAGGCGCGAAAGCUAGGGGAGCAAACGGG